rnacentral:rRNA from 1 species
GGGUUAGUAGGUUGGUCAUGCCUCYGGUAUGUACUGYUCUCACUGAUUCCUCCUUCCUKAUGAACCGUAAUGCCAUUAAUUUGGUGUUGCGGGGAAUUUGGACUGUUACUUUGAAAAAAUUAGAGUGUUUAAAGCARGCUAACGCUUGAAUACAUUAGCAUGGAAUAAUGAAAUAGGACGUUCGAUCUUAUUUUGUUGGUUUCUAGGAUUGACGUA